CGCAAAGGUAGAGGAUGAAGUUUGCGCCGCCGCCGCUGCCGGUCGUGGCGUUUCGCUGUGGCGGCAGCCGGGCUCGGCUCCCGGCGCGCUCUCCUGAACGCCGCUUCCCUAACCUUUGGAACUGCUCGGCGCCGGGGAAAAACAAAUAAUUAUAACGCCAAGCGCGGCCUGCCGAAGCCUCUGGCAACGAGAUACCAGCGUUCUGAAUUUAACCUUAUCUGAAGACUGGGCCUGCUUCCUACAAACCUGGUAUAAAUACUUGUAAUUUUAGGAAUCGGAACUCACACAGCAAAACUACAGCUCAGACUACUGUAUAAAAGCAGAAUUCUUUCAAAUCUUUGGAUGUAUAUGUCUUUUUCGUAUAGAAAUAUCAGCCAUAAAUUACUCCCUGUACAUGCAUGAUUUGAUAUGGUCACUUUUCUGUAUUACAUUCAUUGGAAAACACCCUCCUGAAAAUCUGACAGCUAAUCCAUUUUGAAACUCACCGAAGCACAGGUUAGCUUCAUUCCUACUUUUGUUCAUUAUCUCCUAAGAUUUUAUAUUCAGGGGCUGAAACACGAUGGUCUCUCCUUCUGUGACGGUCUGUCUUCCUGUAAGCCCUCGUUUUCACAUUCCUAUAGUUUCCACUACCUUGUGAGCUUGUUGUCCCCCACGCUCCUCUACACCCCCAAAAAAUGCAUCUUUCCUCUCGCCCUGUGAGCUGUCACUAGUUUUCUAUCAAGCAUCUUUCAUCCGAGCAAGCAGCUCUCUGCCCUGCCAGUGCUGCCUCUUGGAGAACCAGAAAUACCGUGCUGUACUUUGCAUGUUGAUAAACAAAGCAGUUGGCUUCUUCCCCCAGGGACUGAAAGUGUCACCUCCACCAGACUGGGGCCUGGAAUUCCAACUACAUUCUUGAACUUGGGUUUCACUGUUACAGAUCAGUUUGGGGAAAGUGGAAAAAAAAAAAAGAUAAGAAAGAGAUUACUGCAGCAAAUAAGCUGGGGCUAACUGUAGCUUCAUUUUAAGCUCUUCUGUAGAAAUAAAUAAAAGCAGUAGCUGGAAAGAGGGGGUGGGCAGCACCGAGAAGGCAAUCCAGGUAAAAGUUUACUGAAUUUUGUCAGGGAAUACACAAUAAGAACAUGCAUGCAAACACACAUCUGCAAUAACUUAUCCAAAUGUACAGUGCAAAAUCUUACCACAAGGAGUCUAUACUAAACAGUGGUAACGGAAUCAAGAGAGGGGAAGGAAAAAAUCAUCAGGGGUGCCUGUACCAGUCAAGGGGCAUUUCUGAGCAGCACCUACAUUUCCAUGUCUCUCUGUGCACCUAAUUAUUCCUGUGUGCCAAACAGUACAUCUUUAAGCAUCUUCACAUCUAAAUACUACAGAAAUUAAGGCAUCAGAAGAGCCAGAUUCUUAAAGCAUAACCACCUCAAGGCAACUGAAGUGAGGUUCAGUGGCACUUCACAGAGACCUCACAGUGCAUUGUGUCAAAUGUGUAUUUACCAAUAGGAGCAAAAAGCUGAAGCCAGCAGGGAAGCUGCAACAAUAUGAAAGUCUGGUAGCUGCCAAGGAUUUAUUUGGGAAUAAGCGUACUUUAGAUGAAGAUUUGCAGUACCAUGGAGGUUUAUUCAAAGUCCAGCCGGAAAAUACUAUAUUGUUAAGAGUUUGAAAUAAAUACUGAAGUGUCAUCAAA